GACCUGUUGGUGCGGUGGUUAGCACACCCACAAUAACUGGUGCAAUAUAUCUCUCCAUUAUGUGGGCAGUCCCAGUUCAACUCUGUGACAGGUCA